UUGCCCAAACACAUUGACAUAUGCCAUUGAGAACAACAUUCCACCUGUUCUCUGUGUCAUCCAUUAAAUUCAGGCCAUUGUCCCUGACUCUGGGCCUCCUGAUUGGCUGAGCAGCCAAGCUCAUGCUGGAUGAGGAGCAUAAAGGCAGCACGAGGAAACCAAUCUAGACACAGAACAUCUUCAGAAGCAACUGCAGCCUCCACCUCCACUGAAUUGCUGGAUAUUUCUUGAGCGUUUUAUCCUUUUUACAAAUAACUGCAAACUCAAGACCAAUAUCUAAAAUGGCUCCCUACUCUGAUAUGGACCUGCAAGGCACCAUUAAGGAACAGCUCUUUCGGUGUAAACUCCACAUGCUAGAGAGAAAGUGCUCCACUGGAGUGGAGAAGCUGAGGGUUCUGAUCGGAGAACACCUGCAGAAUGGAAUCCCAGCGUCGGACAUCUUGGAGAAGACGGUGUCCUUCUUCACAGUGAGGAAGGCCCUGCUGACCCACAACGGCUACUCCAGAUGUACCAGAGAGUUCCUCCGUCUGUCCUCCACGUCGGAUGAAGAUGUGGCGCCGCUGUGCCUUUUCACUGAUGAUGAAGACAGAGAGCUUACUUUUUCAUUUUCUGAAGAUGUCGAUCAACUCCAGUUAAGCUGGAGUUGAUCGAUGAGAUACAGUUUGCAAUCAGUGGUGUGGCUGUUGGUUGCAAGUCUAAAAACUGGAAAAUGCUUUAUAGGCAUUGUGACAAGUAGAUUUACUGCUAAAGCCUUUCUCUAAGAAAGCCUAUUCUAAUUAUUGUCUUUCAUAUGCUGCUUGAACAUGAACAUACCAGCUCACAUCAUGAAAUGUUGGGGCUUUGGGCGAGGGGAUGUUUUGUGCCAGGUUUACCUGGACAAUCCUCAAUCUUUUGGGGGAUGGUCAAAAAACAAUGAAUGUUUUCUGGCACACACGCUGUUAAAGAAAAGAAGAUGGAAAAUCAAGUUUAGGAUUUUUCUCAACUAAAGCUGCAGUGAUCUUUGAAUCUGACUUCAGGUUUUUGAUGAGAGAGUGCUGGACACUCCCACAGGAAGCUGGAUACUUUUAUUAUUGUGUUUUAAAAACAUAAAAUCGCUGUUGAUUAAGCCUAUUUUUUAGGCCAAUGAUCAAUGAUUUAGCUGGAGUUUAAAUACCCCUUAAUUAAAGGGAAUGGAGAUUUUGCCUCUUUAAGCAUAUUGUUUAAUUUUGUUUGCGUUAUUGCCUUAUAAUGUACGACAUGUACACCAACGUAAGAAGUGUUUAUACUGAAAUAAAUAAAAAUCUAAUUCAGAAAUACUGUAUUUUCCCUUUGUUUUUUGAAUUCCUUUGAAGUUGAAUAUAGGCUUGUUAUUUGGUUUUAUCUUUUUUAUUGUGUCUCUAUUGGCUCAUCAGACAUGAAUUCAUCAUGGACUGUCAUUCUGCCUUAAUAAGUAAAGAAGCACAAAUCAAUUUAAAUGAAGGAAAAUGAUUUAGUAUUACACUGAUUUUAUAUCAUGAGGCAGCCGGUCAGUUUAUGUUCCAGAAAGCGAACCUCAUGUAACAAAGCAGCUAACCAGGUUCAAGUUAUUUCAAAUAUUGUGAAUAACAGAUUCUCCAUGUGUCUAGAUGCCUUAUGUCUAAAGGAGGUUUCCAUGGUUCUGUUUGGAAGUAGAUAUUAUAGCCCAUUCACAACCCAAGCUCCUUUUAACCGAAACAAAGGAGAAAUACAUUCCAC
ensembl:lncRNA